UCUUAAUAAACUCCCUCUUGUAUAUACAUAUAUCAUUUUAGCUGUGGCCCUAUGGAGAACCCUGACUACUAAUACACUUUCUUAUUUUGCUUGUAACUCACUAUUAAGCCCUUAGUACAGUGUCUCCAUAUAGUAAGCAUUUGAUAAGUGCAGUGAGUAUCAUGCCAUCAUUGAUGUUAUUGUCACUGUUAUCAUCAUCAUAAAGUGUGAGGGAUCCUAGCAUAUCAGAUGUAUCAGAGAUUUUACAGAUUACUUAAUCCAGGAAAAUUAAGAGGUUGGUUCAGACUUUUGCAGCUUGUAAGCAAGAUAGCAGAUCAAGAGAGCUAGAACCUAGCUGAACUAACCUUGUUCACUGCCCCAAUAGGCCUCUUUUGGUUUUCAGAUUAUUUUACCUUCCGACUGAUUGGUAGCAGCAACUGAUACAGAGGAAAGAGCAUAGCUAGUCUUAGCUGUGCUCAAGUUCUGGCUGCUCUAUUUAGUUGAUAAUAUUAUUCAACUCAUAGAGCUGUUAAAAUGCACCCCCCCACACACAACCCCUGUUGACGUCGUAUUUGGCACAUUUCCCCUCUAACACCUAGGUUAGAGGGAUUCUAGAACGUAUAAUUAUGCUGGGCCAAACAGUAGUUGGUUUUUAAAACUUGUAGGAGGGAAAUAUCAUGGGAAGAAAGUUAGGAGCAUAUUGUCUUCAGGCAUGAGCAGAAACUCAAAAUAGAUUUCUGCAUACGGGUUUCUAGUCGUGCUUGGGAAUGCAGCCGACUGAGCACAACAUGGCCCUAUCCUGGAGCUCUGCCAGCUUUGCCCACACUAUGAGUGGCACAGGUGCAUCUGUGCCUGUGGCCCAUAUUAUAUACCCUUCACAGGUUCAAGUAUAUUUUGGUUCAACAAGAGGUAUAGAGAGGCCUGCAGAAUGUUCUAGGAAUUUCUGGACCAGUUUCCUACAUCGUAGUACUCAUAGAUCCACACGUCCACACGUAGAAAAUUUUAUAGGACCACUUACCUAAUUUGAAGAAGAAAGUGCCUUCAUGGUUUUGUAUGUCUUCUUCCUGUCCAUACGUCUGUCUCUCUCAGACCUGAUAUUUCUCAAUUUGAACUCAAUUUGAACUUGAAUAAAUCAGACUGGGAUGAUCUUCAUUUGGGGAAUUUAUAAUAUUUCUAUCUUCCUGUGCAGAAAAGCUGAAAUUAUAUCAAAGAAAAUGAAAACUUUCAUUCAUUAAGAGGAAGUAAAGUAGCUUGUAUUGAUUUUCCACCAUUUUGUUGUUUACUUUUUAAAUAAAUCAUUUGAAAUAGAUAUUAAUGUCUUUUAACAAUGAAAUUGAGAUAUUAAUAAUCAGCAAGUUUACUAACUUAAGAAAGAUGACAAAGAUAGUGAGCACUGGAGUGAGAUUUUAAAUGAAGCCCUAUCUGACUCCUGCUUUACCAUGAAAUCCCCAAGUAGCUCUAUCACUUUUCUUCCUAACUUUUCAGCUGAGCCUCCUUCAAGGUUUCUGGAUUGUGUUUGCACUCCUAUUAGAUGAAUACAAAUUAUAUAUUUCCAUUCCUCACCCCUUAUUUCUGCCUUCCUUCUCCCUAGUAUGUCUCGUUUCUCUGACUAUUGCUUUUAGAUUGAGUAUGAUGUUGAUCAGGAUCUCACUGAAAGUAUCACUGGCUAAUUAAUUUCUUCCCUCAAAUCCUCAUUAGAUAUGAAUUGUAUAACUGUUAAAAAUAAGCACUAGGGACUUUGCUUCAAGAUGUGCAGUAGUGUUAAGAAGUCACAUAUGUGGGUUCCAACAAAAAGUAUUGGUACCAAUUUUAUUAGUUUGCCAAUUUGGAGGAGUAAAUGAGAGAGAGAGAGCCAGAGAGAGUAGGCUUUGCUGGGGAGGAAGGAGAGGGGAGACAGAAACAGAGAAAGGAGAGGAUUUAGAAUGGAAAGAUUUGGUUUAGGCCUCUGGCAUUAUGUGACUAGGGUAUAUUGUUUAAUUUCUGUAAGCCUUAAUUCCUUCAUUGACUAUAAGGAGACGUGUCUCUGCUCUCACUUCCUCAAAAGGUGUAUUAGUCAGGGUUCUUUAAAGGGGCAGGACUAAUAGGUUAGAUAUAUAUAUGAAAGGGAGUUUAUUAAGGAGUAUUGACUUACACGAUCACAAAGUGGAGUCCCACAAUAGGCUGUCUGCAAGCUUGGGAGCAAGGAAGCCAAUCUUAGUCACAAAACCUCAAAACUAGGAAAGCUGACAGUGUAGCCUUCAGUCUGUGGCCUAAGGCCUGAGAGACCCUGGCAAACCGCUGGUGUAAUUUCAACAGUUCAAAAGCUGAAGAACUUAAAGUCUGAUUUUUGAGGGCAGGAAGCAUCCAGCAUGGAAGAAAGAUGAAGGCCCUAAGACACGGCCAGCCUAGUCCUUUCAUGUUCCUUUGAGUGCUUUUAUUCUAGCUAUGCUGGCUGCUGAUUAGAUGAUGCCCAUCCAGAUUGAGGGUUGGCCAGCCUCUCCCAGUCCACUGAGUCAAAUGUUAGUCUCCUUUGUCAACACCCUCACAGACACACCCAGGAACAAUACUUUGCAUCCUUCAAUCAAAUCAAGUUGAUACUCAGAAUUAACCAUUGCACAAGGGUACUGUGAGUUCAGUGAAGACAUGGAUAUAAAAGUAUCUUAUAGAUUGCAAAGUGCUUUACAAUUACAGAUUGUAGUAAGGACAAUUCCGUAUUUUAAAAUAACAGUGUUAUCACAUGCAUUUUUUUUCUUUCUUCCUUAUUUCUCAAUAUUUUGGUUCACGAAUUGCUAUUCUAUGGUCCAAAGUUUUCUCUGCUUGUGUGAGAGUCCUUGAGUCUCUGGGGUCUAGAACCAAAGUUACAGGAAGCAGUCUCUUACCUGAAUUCAGGCAAAGGAGAAUUGCAAAACUGGAUCACAGAGUAGAGAGCCAAAGUCUGAUAAGUGAAAAGUAAGCCAAUUGUCUAAAAGGGUAUCUGAGCUGAGAAUAUUACCUCAGAAUUCUGUAGCCUGAGAGCAGGAUGAGCCAAGUGUAGGCUGAGGCAAUUUCUCAGUAAAGGCUGGAAUAUUUGCAACUGGAUAUGCGUUGGCUAUGUUUAAAUACAGACCUGGGUUAUUAUGAACACACAUUAUACAGAUAUGUUCAUUUUGAUGUGUUUCUGACUAUCAAGCUACUCUUUCAGAUAUGCAUCAUAAAUCACUUUCAAGGUAGUUAGGGUCUAUUAUGUUCUUGGAGCUGAAUUCAUCAUGACUAAAAUUAUUUGAGCAUUCAGAUUUUUUUCCAAAGUUGCCAUUUUUUCUGAUUUCAUUAAAAAGUAUACUUCUUUUUUUUUUUCAUGACAUAGAACAAUUAAGAUCACUUGUUUCCUUUGUGAGAGAGUUCUACUUUGCUUUGGAAAUAUAUCAUUUCAGAAGUAAUACUCUCUUUCUUACCACCUAUGAAUAUCUGUAUAUCUAUUAGUCAGGCUUAUCCAAAGAAACAGAGCAAACUGAGUGUGUAGAUAUAUAGAAAGAGAUUUAUUAUGAGGAAUUGGCCCACGUGAUUAUGAAGGCUGCUACGUCUAAAAUCUACACUGUGAUCUGGCAGUCCAGACCCAGAAGAGCCAAUGGCGCAGUUCCAGUUUGAAGGCCCUUGCCCUAGACCCAGAAUAGCCAAUGGUGUAGAUGAAGGCUAUAGGCAGUCUGCUGAACAAUACCUCUUGGCAGGAGAGGUUGAUGUUUUUGUUUUUGUUUUGCUCUAUUCAGGCCUUUAACUGAUUGGAUGAUACUAGCCCACAUUAUAGAGGAAAAUCUGCUUAUUUAAAGUUUAUUGAUUUAGAUGUCAAUCUUCUCCAAAGGAAAAAACCUCCAUUUUGAUACUAAAAUUAAUUGUAACAAUAAGUAAAAA